UCCGGCUUGACGCCGGCAGUCUCCCGAGAGUCCUCAGCUUGACCUGUUAGUAACACGGGACAAGGGUUGCGCUCGUUGCGCCACUUAAGGCAACACCUCACGGCACGAGCUGACGACAGCCAUGCACCACCUGUGAUGGUGUCCCGAAGGAAAACCGUGUUUCCACGGCUGUCACCAACAUGUCAAGCCCAGGUAAGGUUCUUCGCGUUGCGUCGAAUUGAACCACAUGCUCCGCUGCUUGUGCGGGUCCCCGUCAAUUCCUUUGAGUUUUAGCCUUGCGGCCGUACUCCCCAGGCGGGACACUUAUCGCGUUGGCUGCGGCACGGACAGAUUCGACUCCGCCCACACCUAGUGUCCAUCGUUUACGGCGUGGACUAC
rnacentral:misc_RNA from 1 species